GCUGCAAUCUACGUCCUUAUAUUUCUUCCCUCUGAUACCACUUAUUGGGUGGAUGUCUGGUCAGGACACCACCUCCUAGGACCUUUUCGAUAUCACGUAAUGCAGCAGGAAGAAAAAAGAAAUAAAAUAAAAAAUAAUCAAAAUACGUGAAUCAGCCAAAAAAGGGCUCGCCUCCAUGAGGCAUGCAAACUUCACUAUGAAAAAGAAAUAUUACAAGAGGAGAUCUCACCCUCAACACUCAUACACCCAAUUUCUCCCUCACAGAAAGUUCUCCCUUACAAAAGCUCUUUCUCUAGGAAGAUCCUCCUGAAAUUUUGAAGCGGCUACUGUCCGUUGUCUAGGAGCCUCCUGCUCCUCCUCUCAGCACCUUAGCCUCUCUCUCUCUGUGGGUUCUUUGGGUCUUAGGCUUGAUGAAAACGCACCACCACCGAACCACCAGGCCACCACGCAGGCCACUGUCUGUGAUCAGGGCCCUUUAUAGGCCUUAAAUCCAUGUUAGAUGGUGAUUAGGACUCCUAAUCAAACCCAAACAACUCCCUAAAUUGUUAGAUCAUAACUAGAAUCAACCCACGCCCUCCGAUCGCACACCGAUCCACAGAACAAUGCCAUGAACCACGACAAAUACGUGGGAAACGUCGAUG
rnacentral:lncRNA from 1 species